rnacentral:rRNA from 1 species
UACGAGGGGUCCUAGCGUUGUUCGGAAUUAUUGGGCGUAAAGAGCUCGUAGGCGGCUUGUCACGUCGGGUGUGAAAGCCCGGGGCUUAACCCCCGGGUCUGCAUUCGAUACGGGCUAGCUAGAGUGUGGUAGGGGAGAUCGGAAUUCCUGGUGUAGCGGUGAAAUGCGCAGAUAUCAGGAGGAACACCGGUGGCGAAGGCGGAUCUCUGGGCCAUUACUGACGCUGAGGAGCGAAAGCGUGGGGAGCGAACAGG